CCUACGGGUGGCAGCAGUGGGGAAUAUUGCACAAUGGGGGAAACCCUGAUGCAGCGACGCCGCGUGAGUGCAGAAGUAUCUCGGUACGUAAAGCUCUAUCAGCAGGAACGAAAAUGACGGUACCUGACCAAGAAGCCACGGCUAACUACGUUCCAGCAGCCGCGGUAAUACGUAGGGGGCAAGCGUUAUACGGAUUUCCUGGGUGUAAAGGGGGCGCAGACGGCAAUGCAAGCCAGUAGUGAAAGCCCGGGGCCCAACCCCGGGACUGCACUUGGAACUGCAUGGCUGGAGUACAGGAGGGGCAGGCGGAAGUCCUAGUGUAGCGGUGAAAUGCGUAGAGAUUAGGAGGAACACCGGUGGCGAAGGCGGCCUGCUGGACUGUGACUGACGUUGAGGCCCGAAGGCGUGGGGAGCAAACAGGAUUAGAUACCCGGGUAGUC
rnacentral:rRNA from 1 species